rnacentral:pre_miRNA from 14 species
UUCCAGGAGUGAUGACAGCUAGCAGAUCCUCAGCUCUGGAAGUGAAAGAGCCCAGGAGUGGGGAGACCCUCACUCAAGUCUCGGGAUGACGCGACCCCCCCCAAGAACUCACACAAGACC